rnacentral:rRNA from 1 species
ACGCUCGACACCUACGGGAGCAGCAGUGGGGAAUAUUGCACAAUGGGGGAAACCCUGAUGCAGCGACGCCGCGUGGAGGAAGAAGGUCUUCGGAUUGUAAACUCCUGUUGUUGGGGAAAAAGAGGAUGGUACCCAACAAGGAAGUGACGGCUAACUACGUGACAGCAGCCGCGGUAAUCUGAGGCGGGCUGGCGAAGGC